UUGUCCGGAUUUAUUGGGCGUAAAGAGCGUGUAGGCGGCCUGAAAGGUCAGCUGUGAAAACUCGAGGCUCAACCUCGAGACGUCGGUUGAAACCAUCUGGCUAGAGUCCGGAAGAGGAGUGUGGAAUUCCCGGUGUAACGGUGAAAUGCGCAGAUAUCGGGAAGAACACCCGUGGCGAAGGCGGCACUCUGGGACGGUACUGACGCUGAGACGCGAAAGCGUGGGGAGCGAACAGG
rnacentral:rRNA from 1 species